UUUAUUCCUAGAAGGCCAAGAAGAAAAGCAGAUAAACAGACAGGAACACAUGUUCCCGGUCCAUUGCACAAUAUCUAAAAGAGAUGAAACACAUUACAAAACUCAGAAGUGGAGCACAUUAUCUUUACAUCCUACAGUUUUGAAAUCAGAGAAGAAUAUUGUGGUUUCAAACCUCCUGCUGAACCUGAUUUCAGGCACAUCCAUGCUGGGACCUUAUUUCCUACUCUACAAUCUACUGAGAAUGCAGAUCUGUUUUUUAUACAUUUGGCUUGGGAACUGGCAACACCUGCUGCUCUCCUUAAUGACCUCUGCAGAGAUUGGCCUUUUGUCACCUGGACAAGAGCAGAAAAACUGCCCUGCUCGCUGGGGAGGAUGGUGGUGUGGGAAUGUGCAUGUGUGAGCUGAAGGUUGUGCUGCUUACCAGGCACGGAGCCACCUCCAGGACACUGCCUGGCCUUCUUUGUUCUGGUAAUGCUCCCUACUCCUCAGUGCUGAACACCUGGAGAUCAGACUAAGGGAACAGGAGGUGGUGGUGAUAGACAACUAAAAGAGGCAAAGGCAAGUGGAGUGAUACAAAAUGGACCAAAGCUGGGUUAACUGAAUGAUCCAAUCUCUGCAAGUUCUACCUUUUAACUGCUAUGCAAUACCUACUUUUAAACAAUGCGGGAAAAACCUAUUAGAUAGUCCUAUGUUAUAGGAAUAAUGAAUUCUUUUGUUUGUCUGGUUUUUGUGUUGAUGGGGGGAGGUGUUGUUUCUGUGGCACAAGAAGAGAGAAUCUGCAAUGAAUUAAUUUGUAUUCUGCUAUGUAAAUUACAGCAUCUUAUGAGCUCAUCA